GUGUUCGGAUUGCGGCGACGUGAGCGGUUCGCCGCCCGCGACGUCGCAAGAAGUCCACUGAACCUUAUCAUUUAGAGGAAGGAGAAGUCGUAACAAGGUUUCCGUAGGUGAACCUGCGGAAGGAUCAUUGUCGAAUCCUGCAAACCACCGUGAACACGUAUCUAAAACCAACUGUCGCGGUGCGACCGGGGGUACGUCCCCUCGGUCUCCCGCCGCAACAAAUUAAACUUUCCGGCGCGGAAUGCGCCAAGGAUUACUCUAACGGAUCGUCCGCGUCCUUGCGGGGCGGCUUCCGCCUUGUGGGCGCGGUUCGUCUGAAAACGUUAACUUUAACGACUCUCGGCAACGGAUAUCUAGGCUCUCGCAUCGAUGAAGAACGUAGCGAAAUGCGAUACUUGGUGUGAAUUGCAGAAUCCCGUGAACCAUCGAGUCUUUGAACGCAAGUUGCGCCCGAAGCCAUUUGGCCGAGGGCACGCUUGCCUGGGCGUCACGCAUCGUCGCCACCCCCCAACUCGCCCAUUCGGCGCUUUGGGGUGGCGUAAUUUGGCCCCCCGUGUAAAGCGGUCGGCCUAAAUGCGAGUCCCUUGCUCUCGGGACGUCACGACUUGUGGUGGUUGGAAUCUCUCAACUCGAUCGGAGUCGCGGACGAAACCGGAGUGACGGGGGCUCAAGCACUGACCCUCGAGCCUCUUAGGCCCUCGACCAUGACCC
rnacentral:misc_RNA from 1 species